rnacentral:lncRNA from 1 species
CCGAAUGCCAUCAUCUGCCAAGGUGACCUCCAAGCACUGGGCAGGCAGAGGCCGCUCCUGUUUUCCAGGAAGCUGGCAAGUGGGCUCUGGAGACGGCAGUUUUAUCUGCAGGCAGAGGGAGCGACCAGGAAAUGAAUUAUUAGCUAAUACUUCCAAAGAACGAACCUGUCAAAGUUCCAUGUUUCCAACUGAACCCAUGUUCCUCCACUAAUACUUGGAUUUUCUUCCACCACGGCCGUUCCUGAGACAGCAAGACCAGUUCCUCCUCCUUCUGCUCCUCCUCAGCCCACUUGACGUGAAGACGACGAGGAUGGAGACCUUGAUCGUGCCCCACUCCCACCUAAUGAAUAGUCUGUAGAUUUUCUCUUCCUUAGGACUUUCUUCAUAACAUUUUCCUUUCUCUAUCUUACUUUAUUAUAAAAAUACAGUAUAUAACACAGAUGCAAAUUAUGUGUUAAUUGAGUUUUUAUGUUAUCUGUAAGGCUUCCAGUCAACAGUUGGCCCUCAGGAGCUAAGUUUUGGGGGAGUCCAAAGUUGUAUGAGUAUUUUUCACUGUGUAGGGGAUCAGUGCCCAUAAACCUCAGGUUAUUUAAGGGUCUACUGUAUAAAGUAAAUAUUGGACUCAUAAUAACAAUAGCAGCUAUAACAUCUUUGUAGCACUUAGCCUUGGUACAGGUGCCUUCAAUAUGCUAACUAAUUUAACUUUUAACCAAGCCAGUUCUUUAUGUAAAAAAAACGAUUCAUCAUAAUUUAAUAUCUUAUACAUGUUCCAUUCAAUUUUCUAAAUUUGGCUAAUAUAAAAUAAGGUUUAAUAUUACCAUGAUUUGAUCAACAUUUCAAAAUUACAUAUAUUUCUCUUACAAAUUCAUUGUUAUUGACAUCAAAUUUAUAACCACGUUAUUGGCAUUGUUUAACCACACAGUAAAAUAAGUGUAAUCAGUGAAAAAAAUAGAAUAAAAUCUAUAUAGUGGAGACCUUGAAAUAUAUGUGCGAGAGUGCAAGAGUUUAUUCACUGUUGGGAUGAAAUGCUAUUUAACAGUUUUUCUUUCCCAAGGGAUGGAAUUAUGUGGGAUUCUUGUCUCCAUCUGAGAUCUAUCCCAGGGCAUCAUCUCCGGAGAAGUUUCCGUCUUCUGCG